UAAAAUACAUGUUUGCAAAACUGAAC
rnacentral:piRNA from 1 species